GCACCGGUAGCUCAGUUGGAUAGAGCAACGCACUCCUAACGCGUAGGUCGUGGGUUCGAUUCCCUCCCGGUGCA
rnacentral:tRNA from 1 species